rnacentral:rRNA from 1 species
UACGUAGGGGGCAAGCGUUAUCCGGAUUUACUGGGUGUAAAGGGUGCGUAGCCGGAAUAUCAAGUCUGAUGUGAAAGCCCGAGGCUCAACCUCGGGAUUGCAUUGGAAACUGGUAUUCUAGAGUGCAGGAGAGGAAAGUGGAAUUCCUAGUGUAGCGGUGAAAUGCGUAGAGAUUAGGAGGAACACCAAUGGCGAAGGCAACUUUCUGGACUGUAACUGACGGUGAGGCACGAAAGCGUGGGGAGCAAACAGG